rnacentral:rRNA from 1 species
UUUAUUGAGAGUUUGAUCCUGGCUCAGGAUGAACGCUGGCGGCAUGCCUAAGACAUGCAAGUCGAACGAGAUGGCCCAGUGAAGGUUGAGUGCUUGCACAAGACUGAAUCUGGAUUCCCAUCUAGUGGCAGACGGGUGAGUAACACGUGGGUGACCUACCUUUUCGUUGGGGAUAACAGUUGGAAACGAUUGCUAAUACCGAAUAAAAUGUAAGAGUCAAUUUUACAUUGAAAGGAGCCUUUAAAGCUUCGCGAUUAGAUGGGCCUGCGGCGUAUUAACUAGUUGGUGAGGUAAUGGCUUACCAAGGUGACGAUGCGUAGCCGAACUGAGAGGUUGAUCGGCCACAUUGGGACUGAGACACGGCCCAAACUCCUACGGGAGACAGCAGUUAGGAAUAUUCGUCAAUGGAGGAAACUCUGAACGAGCAAUGCCGCGUGAGUGAUGAAGGUCUUAUAGAUUGUAAAACUCUGUUGUAUGGAAAAAACGACUAGGUUA